ensembl:lncRNA
CUGAAGCUGUAGGCAGGAUAUCUUAUUCAAUAAAAAUGGGAAAAGCUUUAGGUGUGGUUUCCUUACCCUUUUUCUUUUUCUUUUUUUUUUUUUUUUUUUGCAUUUCAUUUUAUAUCUUGCCCCUGAGAACUUGUUAUAUCUCACAAAUCAUGGAUUUGCUCUAAAUACUGUGGUUUACUAGCUUUCCAAAGUUCUGGGCCUUUCUGUCCUAAUGAUGAUACAGUAAUACUGGGUAAAAGUGAUUAAGCAUUUUUAUUUUUAUUUCUACUUCUUUAAUUAAUUUACUGGGGAUUUAGAAGCUUUGGAAAAAUAUUUUUUUUCCUGUGGCCUAUUAGAUAUUAUGGUGAAUUGGGAGCCUUACAGAAAACAUGAGAAAUUACACUCAUCUCUGUUUUCACAAGUUUAUUUGGUUGGCUUCAAGUCCUCUGUACUUUCAAAGAAAAACAGACAUAGAAAUGAAUAAGGCACUUUAAAGUUUGGAAAAAAUAUUUUGCAAAAUAGGGUGCAUGAUAGGUCUGGCACUGUCUGCCAAGUGUAGAUUUGUGCUAUGAGUACCGAAUGAAACAGUGCUGCUAAACUCAGCGCUUGUAUUCCCUUAGGAGGUGACAAAAAAGGAUGAGGGGCUUUGAAGACCUCCAGAAGCAGGUCUUUUCUGGCAAGUUGAGGCAUCUAAAUGACCUCCUCCCUGGGGGCCUGGAGAUGAAUCUGGGGUUUCCUAUUGAUCAUACAUGACACAAGACAGAUUAUGAAGUUUAGGUUCCCCCUUGCCCGAGCACCGCAUCCCUCUCACUUCUUCUGUGAGGAGGGGAGGACAAGGGCAGGGACUUUUGGCUUUCACCAGGCAUUUUCUUGCUCUCUGGUUCUACUUUGAUAUCAACCCCAGCUGGCGAGGGCUUAUGUUGUUGGUAGCUUUGCUACCGUGGGGAUGGAUCGAAGUUUGGGCAUGAAAUGAGGAGCUGGGAUACAGAUGAGAAUAAAAAUUGCCUUCUAUUAUUACACCUGUCUUUGCCGCCUUGCUCAGUAGGAUUGGCCAUGUCGGGGUCUCCGUUCCCCCGGGCGGAACGGCUUGAGCAAACUCUACCACUGCUCUGCGGGCUAUCCCUCAGCAGCGGCUCGGGCAGCUGCCCAGCCCCUGAAAGCCGCGGUCACCAGCCGUAUGCGGCUCCUGCCACACGCAGAGCUGUGAAUGAGGGUGCCGGGACGGCCCCUUCAGCUCCCCGGCUUCCCCCGGGCGGCUCUGGCCCGGCCCCGGCCCCGGCGAGCCCUGUGUGGGGCACGGGCCCUUCCUGGCGCCGCCCGGAGCCGCCCCCGCUCCGUGCCCGGCCCCGCGCUGCGGGCCCUUCGUUUGAAAAUAAAGCCGUCAUCAAAACCAUUCGGACACUGCAUGAAACUCGCCUGUUCACACCCUGCAGUAUCUGAACAAGAACCUGGCCCAGAUCGUAUGUUCUGCAUCUCCAUCUGUGCUGGUGGGUCAAACUGCUCUGUGAAAAGAGCUCUCCAAUAACUCCUGGUUUUCAGCUAAACUAGUGGGAAUCUGAAGUGCCAGGGAUUUGGAUUGAUUUCAGCUUUCCUUUUGAUUCAAAAAAAUCCAGACAAACUCACAACUGAAAACCUUCUUGUCUUUCCUAGGUUAAAAAGGAGGGUGAGCUGCGCUAGUAGGUGGGAAGACCUUUGCUCUCUCUGCUGGAGCAGAGCGGGGCAUGGUGCUAGAGCAGCAAAGAUGCCUCUCACGCCUGCAGUGAAACUUAGCAGACAGAAGUUCCCCCAAAAGAGGGGAUCUAGUCCACAACAGAGGUCCCUGACUGUGCUGCAUCCAGUGUGUGAGCCUUUGUUUUCACCCCAGACAAUUCAUGAUGCUCGCUGUCCAGCAUUAAUGGAGUUGUGUUUCCUUGCAUUUUCCGUAACUGCCUGUUUUUCUACUUGUCUCCCCUUUUCCGUUUCCUGUUGGCACUGCAUCCUAAACUCCUAACCUCUUACACACAUGCACCGGUUUUUUUCGCUUGCUGGGGGAGGUGUUGCACAAUGAGAUCCAUGUAGUGAGAGUUCAAUUGCUGCAUGUCGGAGCACGGCAUAUGCUAGCCAGUUUUCUCACCCACACCCCUCUCUGUGGGAUUUCUCAGCACAUUUGCUUCCCAGCUCCUGCACUCAACAUGUGCUGCAAAGUGUAGUGGAAUAUCCGGGUCUGAGGCCCUGCAGUAUACAGGAGGACUCUUCCUGACUUGUAUUAAUAUUGCUGCCAGUGAAAUCUGUGGCAUUUUGAUUGCUUUGGAGCUCCAGUGCUGAAACGUUUUUCUUUCUGCCUACCCAUAUGACUCUCCUUUCAGUUUUUUGUGUUCACAUGAAAGAGAGGGCAAAAAAAAAAAAAAAUCUUUUGAUGUUUUUUGAGAAUAUUGCAAGAUAUUCUCAUGAAAACACCAUUUCUUUUGCUCAGGCUCUUGUUCAUACAGACUUUCAUGACUUCCAGGAUUGACUAUUUUAAUUUGUUCCUGGUGGUGUUCCAGAUUGUUUGCUAAACUGGCUGCAGAUGGUUUUGAAUGUUGCUGCUGCCAGAAUUGUUACUAGGACUUGAUCUGCAGAUCAUAUUUCUCCAGUCUCACGUUCCCUCUACCCUGGUGCCUGUUAAGCAGCAUAUGGCUUUAAAAUUCUUUGCUGACUUUUAAAGCUUGCACUGGCCCUGAUUCUUUUUACCUUCCUGGUCUUAAAAUGCUUUAGACCUUGGCUUAGGCGCAUGCCUUAUCUGAUGUAAUGGCCACUGACAGUUCAGAGCCAGCAUCCAGCAAACCAGGGUCAAGUAUUGCUUUGGAUUUUGCUCCUUGUCAUACUUUUCUUUCAGUGAAGUGAAGGAAGUGAGUAGAUUUUUUGUUUCUAUUGCCUAAUAUUCUAAUGAUUACUCCAAGCUUUACAUUAAGCUUUUCUACAUAGAUUUACACACAGAUGCACACACAGAUGAAGUCAACAUAUAAACAGUAUGCUCCUCCUUUAAAAUUCAAAAGCGCAAACAAAAGAAGUUUGAUUCCCAGCUGAUGUACAAGAGAACUGGUAUAAAAAUUCUGGAGAGACACUUCCUGAUGACACUAGGUGAAGAGGGAUAGGUCCUUGUAUGUGCAUGGCAUGGAAAAAUUUGGGAACAUCACCUUCUCUUUCAAAUACUUUGAUUACUGAAAGCUACGGAGUGUCACUCUUAGUUAUCUAUCAACUUUGUGUUGUUUCAGCUGAAAAGGAGGUAUGCAAGAACACUGCCUUGCAUGUGUGUAUUUCAUCACACAAUGUUAGGUUCUCCCCCUAACUAGUGAGACCCUGCUGCUGGUUUUGAUCCCUGCCAGAUGCAGAACAAAGGACAAUAGAAGGAGACUGACAGAUUCUUCGUCUGUUACUGAAUGUGCUCACAGAAUUUUUAUUAAUGGUGGUACAGCACAAAUACACAAUGGGUGAAAUUUUGUAUUUACUGAAAUCUAUGGGAAUUUUCUUGGUGGCUUUUUUAGAGCCCAGGCUUUAAGGAACAAAGUUUGGAAGUGGAGUUGUCUUGUAUUUCAAGGUUGGCAAGUGCAUGGAAAGAGUUCUUGCUGUCAGUAACUUAAGAGAGGAUUGCUCUGGGGGUCACUGAGGUGCAGUCAGGGGUUGCCAUAGGUUUAGAGCCCCUUCCAGAAAGCCGCUCUGCAAGCCCAUCUACUGGUAUUUAUUCUUCAAGGGUUAGUUCAGGGAGAGUUCCUGUCCUCUUGCUAUCUUUGAGCUCCUCUGGACACUGAGAUGUUUGUCUCCAUCUGGAAAUAAUUCACAGUGUUCCUUUCUGCUCCCACCUCGAUCUACAACCAAGACCCCGUUUCUUUGGCUUGAGUAAUUCUGAGCUUAUGGAUUUUAUUUUCUUAGUCUGUCUCUUGGUAAAGUCCUAUAUAUUUUGUACUUACUCAUUCCUUUUCUUUCAACAAAGUAGAAAGUAGAACACAGGUUCUGCUUUCCCUAUGGAGAACCAUUCCAGACUUUUUUGCUUCUUCCACUUCUUUCAGAAUUGACCAGAGCCUCAGAAUAAAUAAAAAG